rnacentral:rRNA from 1 species
AUUGAACGCUGGCGGCAUGCCUUACACAUGCAAGUCGAACGGCAGCGGGCCGUUCGUGGUGCCGGCGCGUGGCGGACGGGUGCGUAAUGCAACGGACCGUACACGGGCGAGGGGGAUAACCGGCCGUAAGGCAGGCUAUUACCGCAUCAACUCAGAAGAGCAAAGCGGGGGACCUUCGGGUCUCGCGCUCUCGGAGCGGCCGAUGUCCGAAUAGGCUUGUUGGUUGGGUAAAGGCCCACCAAGCCGACGAUCGGUAGCUGGUCUGAGAGGAGGAUCUGCCACACUGGGACUGAGACACGGCCCAGACUCCUACGGGAGGCAGCAGUGGGGAAUAUUGGACAAUGGGCGCAAGCCUGAUGCAGCAAUGCCGCGUGGAUGAAGAAGGCCUUCGGGUUGUAAAGCCCUUUCAGCGGGGAAGAAAAGGGUUAAGGUAAUAGUUUGGCCCGUUGACGUUACCCGCAGAAGAAGCACCGGCUAACUACGUG